rfam:Ricinus communis cultivar Hale ctg_1100012360452, whole genome shotgun sequence.
AGUCCAUGGUGUGGGCAACAUCGUAGUAGGUCCUUGUACCUCUCCUAGGUGUCAUACAUCGACUCAUCAUCAAACUGCACAAAAGAAGAUAUGUCAUUUCUAAGUUU